CAGCAGCCGCGGUAAUACGAAGGGGGCAAGCGUUGUUCGGAUUUACUGGGCGUAAAGCGUACGUAGGCGGAUAUUUAAGUCAGGGGUGAAAUCCCGAGGCUCAACCUCGGAACUGCCUUUGAUACUGGGUAUCUUGAGUCCGGGAGAGGUGAGUGGAACUCCUAGUGUAGAGGUGAAAUUCGUAGAUAUUCGGAAGAACACCAGUGGCGAAGGCGACACACUGGCUCACUACUGACGCUGAGGCGCGAAAGCGUGGGGAGCAAACAGGAUUAGAUACCCGCGUAGUCCCUGUCUCUUAUAC
rnacentral:rRNA from 1 species